UGUCCAAGCAAUAAUAUAAGAACACAUAUAAUUCAUAAUUUCUCUUAAAUCUCAUUUGGUAAAAAAAAAAAAAAAAGGUGAAUCGAAUCAUGAGUUGAGUGAAUCGUUAUAUCCCUACUCCUAAGCGAUUGAGAUUUUUUGUUGUUGGAUGUAAUAAUGAACACAGCGGUCAUUAUUUACUCCCGACAACUGAGCCGCUGAAGACGCAGUGGAUUACAUUUGUUUCUGAAGGGAAUGCGCCCCUGAUCUACAUAAAUGUGUCAAUGUUCACGCAAAUCAUUCGUGAUCCAGCUUCACAUUCAGAAGAAGUGAGAGUAAGGCUUUUUAAUGAAUCUUUGCAAAUCACCUUUCCUAAUAAUGUGCUAAUUAGCAGGUUUCACAAUGAAUGUGAUGGAGAGUGACUCGGAAGAGAGGGUGGAGUCAGCAGAGCUCAUUAACAUUUAAAGGAACAUGCUACAAAACUGUUUGUUCUGAAAAGAGCUCUUUUGGACAGGAAUGGAUCGGAUGUUUCUGAGAUGAAAACCAGCUUGUGGUUUCUUCAAAUCUUUCACUGAUUGCUAAUGACAAACCUGUUAACGGUCUGAUCAGGGUAUCACAAACUCGACUGAUAGUUAAAGUCAACAUAACAGUCUAUAUAACAGAUGAAUGUCGAGCACCAAAUGGAAGCGUCUUUCUUUAUUUUCUGGACACCGAUCAGUCUGUGAAUCAGAGAUAUGAGAGGAGCGCAGCAGUUCUGUGAAUAAAGCAUUGCUUGAUGAUGUGUAUAGUAUAAAUGGGGGGAAUUGUGUGUAAAUAAUGUAUCACAAAUAAAUAAUUAAAUCUAA